CCCACGCCCGCACACGCUGACUCCUCUCUUCCCUCUCCCUCUCGCGAUCUCCUGCAACCCAGCCGUCGACCCUCCUCACGCAAGCACCAAGAUGCUGCCGGCUCUCCUCCUCACGCGAGCCACAGUCGACGACCCCUCUCUUCCGCCUUCUUCUCCCGGCAUGCCCUAGCCACCGCCUCCUUCCCCACCACUUUCCCCGCCUCUGCCCUAGCGCCGACCAACCAGCUCCUAUUUCCCUCGAUUCUCCUUCGAGCCUUGCUCUAGAGCCGCCUUGGGACAUCGCUCAUCCCACCGCCUUGCUCCUCCUUCAUUGAAGUGGUAUCUCGGUCACCAGUGCUAGCACCCAGCGGUGGCCAGCCACGUGACCCCCGACAACCUUUCAUCUGAUCUGGACAACCUUCAUCUUCAUCACCUCUGUGAACUUCCGCUAAAGAGGAGAAGCAUUGGGUUUUAACUCUGAUUUGAAGCGAACUCUAGGGUGUGUUGAUAUUCCGGCGCGAUCUACAAUAAAAGCGGGUUGAGGCUGUCCGGAGCAGUUCCAGUCGCUGGCCCCCCAUCAGCACGUAGAGCCAGUUCUCUGCUGGUUUGAGUCUUAUUGAUAUUUUGGUUUUUUCCAUAUAGAACGUUGUCUUAUUCUGGUUUUGGAUCUUUAUUUAUGGAAUGUGUAUGGUUUAUUUUUGUUUGAUGAACUCUUGAUGUGAUUUUUGGAUUCUAUUCUACUA